AAAUACAAUUUUCUGGCCCAACUUGUAAUACUGUAUUUAUCUCUCCAACUUUACCUUCCAGGCCCUUCCCUCUGAAACCCUAAAUUUCAAAACUCUAGAUUGCGCCUUUUCUUUGCUCCUGAAGUUCUGUACACAUACCAGAAGGCUUUAUAUUUUGAUUCUUGAUUUCUGAUCUUUGUACACACACAUAUUUUGUAGUUCUGUAGCUAGGAAAAUGGUGGUUCGGUCACUUCCUUGCAUCAUUUCUUGCGACGAUCCUAUCGCCACCAAUAGCCACGAUAGAGGAGCAGGAAUCGCCGCGGUCGACAAUCACCAUUUAAUGGUUUCUGAUGAUGUCUCAAAGAGGAGGAGCAGCGCUAGAAUUCAGAAGCUGAAGAGCAAAAAGGCUCUUCUCCUUCGCUGCCGAGAAGAGUCUUUGAAUCACCUAGAAGAAGAGAAAGUUCAUCGGAAGAAAUGCAGAACGUACCAAAAAAGAAAUUUGGAUAUGUCAAAUGCGGCUUCUCAAUCUCAGGUGGUUGAAAGCAAUGGUUCUGAUGUCAAAGAAGAGAAAGUUCAUCGGAAGAAAUACAGAACGUACCAAAAAAGAAAGUUGGAUAUGUCAAAUGCGGCUUCUCAAUCUCAGGUGGUUGAAAGCAAUGGUUCUGAUGUCAAUACUCAGGUUCUGGGAUCCAAUGGGACGACUAUAGACGGUGCCAAUGUUGACGGUGGUGCUAUGAUGGAUAUGGUUAUGACAGAGGUUGCAGAGGGUGGGACUGUGGUUGAGAAAAGUGCAUCUGCUAGGGCUACGGAUACUUUAAGGGCUUUUAACAAGCACUACCUUCACUUUAUUCAGGAAGAAGAAAAGAGAUGUGGAAGAGUGGAAGCUGAUAGGAAAACUGCAAAAGGUUCAAAAUCCAAGAAAAGGGUUGCACCUGAAGAUGAUGCUAAGCGGGGUUCCAAGCGACCUGAUCUGAAGGCGAUAACCAAGAUGAGGGAGACCAAUGCUAUACUGUACCCAAAUAAAAGAUUUGGCUCCAUUCCUGGCAUUGAGGUUGGGCAUCAAUUCUUUUCACGGGCCGAGAUGGUUGCUGUAGGUUUGCAUGGCCACUGGCUUAAAGGAAUUGAUUAUAUUGGGCAAUUUUCUGGCAAAAAGGUAAAUAUUAAGAAGGAGUUCAGCAACUACACGCUGCCACUUGCAGUGGCCAUUGUUUUGUCUGGUCAGUACGAGGAUGAUUUGGAUAAUUGUGAAGAUAUUGUGUAUACUGGUCAAGGUGGGAAUAAUUUACUUGGCGACAAGCGUCAAAUGCGAGAUCAAGUAAUGGUGCAAGGUAAUUUGGGACUGAAGAAUUGUAUAGAGCAAGGUGUGCCUGUUAGAGUUGUUCGUGGCCAUAAAUCUGCUACUAGUUACGUUGGCAAAGUUUAUACAUAUGAUGGUUUGUACAAGGUUUCUAAUUUUUGGGCAGAGAAAGGCGUUUCAGGAUUCACUGUUUUUAAGUUUCGACUGCAGCGGCUUGAGGGGCAGCCUCUAUUGACCACUGAUCAGGUUCAAUUUACCCGAGGACGUAUUCCAAACUCCGUUUCAGAAAUACGUGGGUUGGUAUGUGAGGACAUCACUGGGGGCCAAGAGGAUAUUCCCAUCCCGGCUACCAAUUUGGUUGAUGAUCCACCUAUUGCACCCACAGGUUUUACAUAUUGCAAGUUCAUUCAAGUCGCAGAAAGUGUUAAGCUCCCUCAGAAUGCUGCUGGAUGCGGUUGCAAAGAUACUUGUAGAGAUCCAAGGAGUUGUUCUUGUGCUAGGCUUAAUGGCUCAGACUUUCCAUACGUGCAUGUGCAUCGUGAUGGUGGCAGACUAAUUGAACCCAAGGCUGUUGUGUUUGAAUGUGGUCCAAAUUGUGGCUGUGGACCUAGCUGUGUCAACCGGACAUCUCAGAGAGGGCUAAAGUAUCGACUUGAGGUCUUCCGUACUCCAAAGAAAGGGUGGGCUGUUAGAUCUUGGGAUUAUAUACCUGCUGGUGCACCGGUUUGUGAAUACAUUGGAGUUCUCAUGAAGACUGAUGAAAUAGAUACUGCUUUUGAAAAUAAUUAUAUUUUUGACAUUGAUUGCUUACAAACAAUGAAGGGUCUUGAUGGAAGAGAGAGACGAUUCCGAGAUGUAUCUUUACCCACUUCAUACUUGGAUGAUCAUAAAUCUGAUAUUGUUCCGGAGUUCUGCAUCGAUGCAGGUUCCAGAGGGAACAUUGCUAGAUUUAUCAAUCAUAGUUGUCAACCAAAUCUAUUUGUUCAGUGUGUUCUAAGCUCACACCAUGACGUCAAGCUUGCUAGAGUGGUGCUCUUUGCCGCUGACAAUAUACCUCCAUUGAAGGAACUCACUUACGAUUAUGGUUAUGUUCUUGACAGUGUCACGGGCCCUGAUGGCAAGAUAAGGAAAUUGGCAUGCUACUGUGGUGCAUCAGAUUGUCGGAAGCGCUUGUUCUAGGCUAACAAUUAACUGUUUUCUUUAUAUUGACAUUCAUUUCCCCAUGCUCUUUUUGGCAACCAAACCUUUUGGUAUGUUGACGAAGAGAGGGCAAGUUGUCAAUCCUCAAUCUUUCAAUAGAGUGAAAACAUGGUUUUGUUGUAAAACCUCGGUGCUUUAUGGUUUGUGGGUUGCGAAUACUGAAGAUCCCUGAACUUGAGCAGACAACAUGAAUGGAUCGACUGAAGGGUGAUCGUUAGUAGGAUCUAGACUCAUCUGCGAUUUGCGAAUGCAACUGUAUGCAGGAAUCAUAUAUCUCUGUUGUUGUGGUAACUGAGAUAUACAUAUAUAUGUAUGUUACGUAUGUAUCUGUCAACAAACUACACAUUUUUUUGGCAUUCAAUGGUAGGGUUGUUUUAUAA